rfam:Oryza barthii chromosome 5, whole genome shotgun sequence.
UAUAAGUGCAACCGUAAGUUUCCGCACCCAACUUUGAUCGUUCGUUUUAUUUAAAAAAUUUUUAUAAUUAGUAUUUUUAUUGUUAUGAGAUGAUAAAACAUGAAUAGUACUUUACUCGUGACUUAUGUUUUUAAAUUUUUUCAAAACUUUUUCAAAUAAGACGGACAGUCAAAGUUGGGCGCGAAAAACCAUAGCUGCACUUAUA